rnacentral:SRP_RNA from 1 species
GCUGGGUGUGGUGGUGCACGCCUGUAGUCCCAGUGACUUGGGGGGCUGAGGCAAGAGGAUCACUUGAACCUGGGAGGUCGAGGCUGCAGUGAGCCAAGAUUGUGCCACUGCACUCCAGCCUGGGUGACAAAGUGAGACCCUGUCUCAA